GUAGCAGUUUCGGUGGAUGCGGGUGCCGUACCGGAGGAUCCGGUUCGGGCCAAGCAGGAUCGGCUCGAAGAACUGUAUCAGAACGUGGCCGGUCCUGAGCUUCUGGUAUUUCGCGUGCCACAACUGAAACGCACACAUGAAGAGUCUCCCCCAGGCCGAAUUCCGGAUGGAAAUCAAAUAAACUCGUUACGUGGAACUCGUUGUGCCGACUCCAAGGAAGACGUGUAGGACCGAACAACGAAUUUCCAAGGACAGGAAAUCCUUUUUCCCUCCGUAACCCUCCGUAACGUGUAGUCGUUGAGGGAUCCUCAGUGGCGGUGGAACGGGGAAGGAAACGGCGUGAUUGGAAAACGUGCAAAGGUUGGCUGGCUCGUGUCUAGACGGGAGUUUCGGAGGGAACAAGACGAUAAGAGGCCUGGGCGAGGGCGAAAGGAUACUGCGCUGCGAGAGGAAGAGAGCGAACAGGACGAACAAAUCUCCCGAAGGAGUUCUCUUUUACCCUCGCGACCUCAAACCGAACGGUGGCGGUAGAUCCCUUAAAAAACGGAUUUACAACCUGUUGCUGGCGGAGCCACUUAAAGAUUCCCCUCGAUAUUGAAAGAAUAUCCGAAAAGGAGGGCGACGCACCGACCCGCCGAUCCGCGCCCGUUUUCCAAUGCCUCGUAAAUAUAAAGCUCCGGAUAUCUCAAGUUGGAGGUCGCCGCUACAGAGAUGAAAACAGAAAAGAGACUUGUAUCCUUGUCGCCUUCAAAUCUCUUUUCUGUCUCUCUCGACGAAUCUUUGACACUUUUUAACA